rnacentral:tRNA from 1 species
GCCGCCAUGGUGAAAUUGGUAGACACGCUGCUCUUAGGAAGCAGUGCUAGAGCAUCUCGUGCUAGAGCAUCUCGGUUCGAGUCCGAGUGGCGGCA